GUGGGGAAUAUUGGGCAAUGGGGGCAACCCUGACCCAGCGACGCCGCGUGGGUGAAGAAAUCCCUCGGGAUGUAAAGCCCUGUUGUAUGGGAAGAGCAGAAGACGGUACCAUACGAGGAAGCCCCGGCAAACUACGUGCCAGCAGCCGCGGUAAUACGUAGGGGGCAAGCGUUGUCCGGAAUUACUGGGCGUAAAGCGCACGCAGGCUGAAUUAUAAGUCGGUAGUCAAAUACGGAGGCUCAACUUCCGGAUAUCUAUCGAUACUGUAAAUCUAGAGUAUGUGAGAGGGAAGCGGAAUUCCCGGUGUAGCGGUGAAAUGCGUAGAUAUCGGGAGGAGCACCAGUGGCGAAGGCGGCUUCCUGGCACAAUACUGACGCUCAUGUGCGAAAGCUAGGGCAGCGAACGGGAUUAGAAGCCCCAGUGGUCC
rnacentral:rRNA from 1 species